rnacentral:rRNA from 1 species
UACGAAGGGGGCUAGCGUUGCUCGGAAUCACUGGGCGUAAAGGGUGCGUAGGCGGGUCUUUUAAGUCAGGGGUGAAAUCCUGGAGCUCAACUCCAGAACUGCCUUUGAUACUGAAGAUCUUGAGUUCGGGAGAGGUGAGUGGAACUGCGAGUGUAGAGGUGAAAUUCGUAGAUAUUCGCAAGAACACCAGUGGCGAAGACGGCUCACUGGCCCGAUACUGACGCUGAGGCACGAAAGCGUGGGGAGCAAACAGG